UUUGUCGCCCCUCUUUUCUUUUCCUUUUUCUUCUUUGCGCACCUCCUGUCCUCUUGCUCAAUCUCUGGUCUACUAUGGUUAUUCGUCAAUCUUUAUCAUCAGCUCCUUCCCCUCCUCCUUCUCCUUCUCCUUCACUCCCUUAACUCAAAACCAUCACCCUCACAGUCAAAACCAGCCACCAAGCAAGGGUCACUCUCUGCCUUUCUAUGGUAGCUCUCCUUCAUUACUGAGAGUGGGUACUUCCUCAUCUCAACAUUCCAUAAUGUGGUAGAGGUGGACUAGAAGAUGAGGCGUCGAUUUGCAACAGGUGCUGAUUAAGAGAAGAUGAAUCUUGCAAAGAAGUCUACACAUUACAUUGCAUGUUCCCUUUGUGAGUUUUAAAUUAAGAUUCUUAGGUUUUCUUUUUUUUCUUAUGUCUGAGCCUCCAUAUCUUCAAACUACUGAUGAAAUUAGUGAUGAGAUUUGGUAGUGAUUUGCAGUAAUUACUAAUGACAUUUUGUAGUUAUUGUGAUUUAUGUGUUUGUUGAUGAGAUUGACUUAAUAUUAACAUCCAAACUUUGAUUUUAAGCGUUAAAGUUUUGAUCUUAAAUUGAGAAUUACAUGAAGAAAAAUGUUGAACCUUUCCCUUCUACUCUUAUAUUUGAAAACUGCUUCUAAAUUGAACUGAACCGUAUGUUAAAAUCAAUUUUGAUUUGAUUGUGUAUAAUAAAAAAUUUAAUUUUACCGAUCCUAUUCAAUUUUAAACCGAGCUGACUAAAUGCUCAUCUGUAUUACCCACCUUACCCGAGAAAUCUUCCUCAAUUAUUGUAGGUCAAAGAAAGUACACUGUCUUGCCUUAAUAUAAUAUGCUCAUAAUCCAACAAAAAAAUUGAAAGGCUUCCACCUGGCCCCUCAUUCCUAUCUUGAAACCCUUUAUCUCAUCAGUCGACACAUGUCCUUGCUCUAGACUUACCACAAUUUUUUUUUUCGCCGAAAGACUAGCACAACAUCGAUCCGCUGUUUUCCUAGAAAAAAAAAUAUGGCAAAGUGGCUGUCUUUCCACAUUGACGCCAUGUGCUGGUUCUUGUACGCCGCCAAUUCUUCCACUUGCCUGCAAAAUGUUCCUGAUAGGCUUGCGUUGUUAUUAUUCAAACAAGCUAUAGAACGAGACCCAUUUCAAGCCUUGAGUUCUUGGAAUGAUUCGCUGCACUACUGCGAUUGGCAGGGUGUUUCAUGUAGUCGUUGACAUCCUGGCAGAGUCAUAGCUUUGAUCCUCACUUCAGAAGGUUUGGUGGGAUCUCUAUCGCCUCACAUAGGAAACCUUUCCUUUCUUAGGGUCCUCAACUUCCAAAACAAUACCUUCUAAGGCGAAAUCCCACAGGAAUUGGUCGUCUUCAACGCGUUCGAUAUCUCAUACUCGCCAACAAUUCAUUUGGUGGAAAUAUACCAGCAAACUUGUCUCGUUGCUCCAACCUUGUGUGUCUUGAUCUCAUCGACAACAAGCUUAUCGGAAGUAUUCCUGCUGAGUUGGGCUCUUUACCAAAACUUGGUGCUCUGGCUUGGCGGCAAAUAAUCUGACAGGAAGUAUUCCUCCCUCUAUAGGGAAUCUCUCAUCUCUCUACGGACAAAUAGCUUGCAGGGACAGAUUCCUGAAGAACUUUCGCGACUUGGGAAGCUAAUAGAUGUGUUGUUAUAAGAAAACAAUCUAACCGGUGAGAUUCCUCCCGGUCUCUAUAACAUCUCCAAUAUUGAGAUAUUUAGCAUGUUCCUCAAUCAAUUACAUGGAAGAAUCCCCUCUGAUAUAGGCCUCACUCUUCCAAAUUUGUCUUCCUUUGCACUUGCAUAUAACAAGUUUACUGGGUCAAUACCUGUUACGCGAUCGAAUGCUUCUGUUCUUCAAAAAAUUGUUCUAUUCUCAAAUUAUUUUACUGGUUCAAUUCCAAAAAAUCUUGGAAUGCUGCCCAAUCUUCACGAUGUGACACUUGCGGUCAAUCAGCUUCAGGAUGACUUAAGUUUCAUUGAUUCUCUAACUAAUUGUUCCAGUUUACAACAAAUCAAUAUUGCAAGGAAUUUUCUCAAUGGAUCUAUUCCCAAAUCCAUAGCCAAUCUCUCAAAAAAAAAAUGUGGAUCCUGGGUCUGUCAGAAAAUCAGUUGCAAGGUACCAUUCCCCUGGGUCUUGAAAACCUUGGCAAUUUGAGAUUCUUGCAGCUUGGUUGGAAUUUUCUCUCUGGCCCUAUUCUUACUGAUUUCGGGAAAUUUCAACAAUUGCAAUAUAUGACUUUGUCUUACAACAACUUCGGUGGAACUAUCCCAUCUUCACUUGCUAAUUUAACAUUCCUUAGUGUUCUUUACAUGAGAUUCAACAAUUUCCAUGGAGCCAUAACUUCAAGUCUUGGAAGUGUUAGUGGCUUGAUUGAGUUGGAUCUCCGUGAUAAUAGUCUCAAUGGUUCAAUACCCGCAGAAGUUAUCGGCCUUUCUUCUCUUUCUUUCGCACUUGUUUUAUCUCACAAUCAAUUCACUGAUCCUGUUCCAUCAUAAGUUGGCUCACUGCAAAACAUUCUCUUGUUGGAUUUAUCUGACAACAGACUAUCUGGCACAAUUCCAAGCUCCAUUGGAAAGUGUUUGAAUCUAGAAGGUCUUUACCCUGGGGGUAAUUUAUUUGAAAGAGGGAUACCUCAGGCUUUUAGUUCUUUGCAGGGUUUAAGAGAGCUGGAUAUUUCGCGCAAUAAUCUUUCUCGGAAAAUUCCAGAUUCUAAAGCUGCGCUUGAUGGGUUGAAUCUGUUGAAUUUUUCUUUUAAUAGGCUUGAGGGAGAAGUUCCAAAACAUGGAAUCUUCUUGAAUUCAAGUGCAUUUUCACUGUUGGGAAACAAUUAUCUCUGUGGAGGUAUCGCAGAUUUGAAGCUUCCUCCUUGCCCCUUCCCGAAAUCCAACAAGGAAAAAUUCUCCUCUGCGCUAAAAGCAUCAAUAUCGGCGGUUGGUGCUGCAUUAUUUAUACUGUUGUUGGGGGGUUCGUUAUUUUUCUGGCACAGGAAAAGAAUGUCUAGAAAGAAAGGAAUUUCCAUGCCAUCAUUUAAUCUCCCAUUUUUGAGAAUAUCCUAUGCAGAACUUUUCAAAGCUACGGAUGGAUUCUCAACGUCCAAUAUAAUUGGUACUGGUAGCUAUAGUUCUGUCUACAAAGGAAUUCUUGAACCAACAGGAACAGAAAUAGCAGUGAAAGUGCUAAAACGUGCAUUGGAGAGGAGCAUCACACAGUUUCAUGUCCGAAUGCAAAGCUCUAAGAAUCAUCAGACACAGAAAUCUCAUGAAGCUACUGAGUUCCUGUUCUAGCAUUGAUUUUCUAGGGAAUGAUUUCAGAGCUCUUAUUUAUGAAUUCAUGCCUAAUGGGAGCUUGGAUAAAUUGUUGCAGCCUGGCAAUACAGGGGAAGGUGGGCAACAAAUAGUUCCAGGAAAUCUGAAAUGGAUGCAGAGGCUGGACAUUGCUAUUGAUAUUGCUUCUGCAAUAGAGUAUCUUCAUAAUGGUUGUCCAUCCACAAUCAUCAAUGGCGAUCUCAAGCCGAGUAAUGUUCUUCUAGAUAAUGAGAUGAUAGCCUGUGUUGAAGAUUUCGGAUUGGCGAAGAUCGUCUCUGCAGUUUCUUGUGGGGCUGAUCAGUAUCCAAGUAGCACUUCCCUGGCAAUCAAGGGAACUACCGGCUAUGUUGCUCCAGAGCACGGCAUGGGUGACAUGGUUUCCAUAGAAGCAGACGUAUAUAGCUAUGGAAUUCUGUUGUUAGAGGUGUUUACUGGGAAAAAACCAACGGAUGAUUCUCUUAAAGAUGGACUAAAUCUUCAUGCUUUUGUUGAGAGUGUUGGAGUUAAUGAGAUUUAGUAGGAAAAACUUUAUGUGCACAAGUAAAGAAAUGAGUCAUACCUAAGUAUGGUGCAAGCAUGGCAUUAGUUGAGAAAAUAAAAUAAUAUUUCCCUAUAAAAAGGAAAUGUUGCUGUUGGAAAA
rnacentral:misc_RNA from 1 species